GGAAUAUUGGACAAUGGGCGAAAGCCUGAUCCAGCCAUGCCGCGUGAGUGAUGAAGGCCUUAGGGUUGUAAAGCUCUUUCAGUGGGGAAGAUAAUGACGGUACCCACAGAAUAAGCUCCGGCUAACUCCGUGCCAGCAGCCGCGGUAAUACGGAGGGGGCUAGCGUUGUUCGGAAUUACUGGGCGUAAAGCGCGCGUAGGCGGCUUUGUAAGUCAGAGGUGAAAGCCUGGAGCUCAACUCCAGAACUGCCUUUGAGACUGCAUCGCUUGAAUCAUGGAGAGGUUAGUGGAAUUCCGAGUGUAGAGGUGAAAUUCGUAGAUAUUCGGAAGAACACCAGUGGCGAAGGCGACUAACUGGACAUGUAUUGACGCUGAGGUGCGAAAGCGUGGGGAGCAAAC
rnacentral:rRNA from 1 species